rnacentral:lncRNA from 1 species
GCUCGACUUCCUCCCGACUCCGAGAGGCGGCGAGUCCACCCACUGGCGCGGUGCAAGAGCUACCCCUCCCUGAACUACGACUUCCUCAGGUUUCAGAGCGGACAGCUCCACGGCCCAGAAAGAGACGCAGGGAGGAGCCCAGCUUCCGCCUCGAAAGGGACUCUGGGACACUGGGCGGGCCCAGGAACGCAGUGUUCUUGGGAAAUGUGGUCCACAGCCUCCGCUGCGCAGGCGCCGUGGCCCUGCUCCACACGCGCACGGCUGAAGACCCCUAUCUCCGAGAGCGCGCACGCACCCUUCCGGGGUACGAGAAGGCGUGGCGGAUGCUGAGGCAGGCCCUACCGGUCUCGGUGGCGGUGUUGUGGUGAAGGCGGCCGGGUUUAUU